rnacentral:rRNA from 1 species
GGGGAAUAUUGCACAAUGGGCGCAAGCCUGAUGCAGCGACGCCGCGUGAGGGAUGACGGCCUUCGGGUUGUAAACCUCUUUCGCCAGGGACGAAGCGCAAGUGACGGUACCUGGAGAAGAAGGACCGGCCAACUACGUGCCAGCAGCCGCGGUAAUACGUAGGGUCCGAGCGUUGUCCGGAAUUACUGGGCGUAAAGAGCUCGUAGGUGGUUUGUCGCGUUGUCCGUGAAAACUCACAGCUUAACUGUGGGCGUGCGGGCGAUACGGGCAGACUGGAGUACUGCAGGGGAGACUGGAAUUCCUGGUGUAGCGGUGGAAUGCGCAGAUAUCAGGAGGAACACCGGUGGCGAAGGCGGGUCUCUGGGCAGUAACUGACGCUGAGGAGCGAAAGCGUGGGGAGCGAAC